AAAGACCGCAGUUUUGCACUAUUUAUGUCCAACGUUUAACGGUCCGUCUUAUUUGAAAAAAUUUUAUGAUUAGUAUUUUUAUUGUUAUUAGAUGAUAAAAUAUGAAUAGUACUUUAUCUGUGACUUUUUAAAUUUUUUUAUAAAACUUUCAAAUAAGACGAAUGGUCAAACAUUGGACACGGAAACCCACAACUGCACUUAAA
rfam:Oryza barthii chromosome 8, whole genome shotgun sequence.